GUUUCAGAUUUUUUACAAAAAAUCACUCCGCAUACGGAGUAAAUAGAAAAUUUCUUUUUCCAGCGGAGUAAUUUCGGAGUAAACUGGAUUUUAUUUAAAUCCGCCUUCACUCCGAUUUAAUCUGCGUUCGCUUCGCAAAUUUUUUAUCCUACUGAAUGAAGGAUGUGGAGAUGAAGAUAAUUUAUGUACAAUUUAACAAGACAAAUAGCGCAAUUAUGAUCUGAGGAAAAUAUUGAAUAAGAAAUUAGUAAACCUUGUAAUCAAAAUAUCAUAAUUUAUGAUCGUGUGUCUGUGGAGAUAUAUCAAUUGCUCGGAGUAAAUCCCCCAAGUUAAAGUAAAGGUCAAUAAUUUAAUGCCGUAUAAAAUAUAUAUUUUUUAUAAGCUCUACAAGUGCUUCAAAAAAUACCCACUUUCGAUGACUAAAAUUCAUAAAUUCAGUGAAAGUUAAAAAAAGACAUCGACUUGUUCAGACGUAACGGAGAAGCUGUAAAUUAAAACCAUGGGGAUUCAAGAUUCGUGAAUAUUUAAAUAUUUAUUUGAAUUUUUUCUGUAUAGUUGGAGAAGCUACUCAUUCUUAGUGGGGUUUUUGUUCUGUUUUGUUUUUAAAAGAAAGACAGCUAAGGCCGCUUUGCUGUACACUUGAAUUAAUUUGCUGUAUACGUUAAUUUUUAAUGAAUUCAUAAAGGCACGUCUGAUGCCCAAGUUGAUCUUCACUACUGUAUACGGUGUUACUUUCUCUCUCUUGAUUAUAUUACCUACGGCAUAAAUGUUUUUCAUGUGUAAUAUACAUAUAUAUGUGUAUAAAUAUGACAAGAGGAUAAAACCGAGCUGUGAUGUGAACUGUAAUGACGUGAUGAUAUUACGGAGCCACUCACACACCCGCUUGUUUUUUCUAUUUAAUGCCACAACACGUUUCAUAUACUAAAUUAAUUUUAUUAAAAAUAUAUAUGUAUAUAUAUACAGAAAAAAGGAUUUUU